rnacentral:rRNA from 1 species
UCCAGACUCCUACGGGAGGCAGCAGUGAGGAAUAUUGGCCAAUGGGCGGGUGCCUGAACCAGCCAAGCCGCGUGAGGGAAGAAGGUACAGCGUAUCGUAAACCUCUUUUGUCAGGGAACAAAGGCGGGGACUAGUCCCCGGAUGAGGGUACCUGAAGAAAAAGCAUCGGCUAACUCCGUGCCAGCAGCCGCGGUAAUACGGAGGAUGCGAGCGUUAUCCGGAUUUAUUGGGUUUAAAGGGUGCGCAGGCGGUCUGUUAAGUCAGCGGUAAAAUUGCGGGGCUCAACCCCGUCGAGCCGUUGAAACUGGCAGACUUGAGUUGGCGAGAAGUACGCGGAAUGCGCGGUGUAGCGGUGAAAUGCUUAGAUAUUGCGCAGAACUCCGAUUGCGAAGGCAGCAUACCGGCGGCGAUCUGACGCUGAGGCACGAAAGCGUGGGUAUCGAACAGGAUUAGAUACCCUAGUA